CUGAAUGAUCAUCCUUGAUCUUCUUACCCUCAAACCACUGUGGAACACUAGACGUGCUUCGGCGCCGUCGGCGCCGCCUUUAUGCUUCAACAAUGUCAUUUUCGUCUGAAGAAUAGAAAUUUCA
rnacentral:misc_RNA from 1 species